AUUAUCAUUGGAAAUCAAAUGUGAUAAGACUUGUAUUAAUUUGAAACCACACUGAGGAUAUUUCUCCCAUAAGACCUCCCAGAAACAAUUAAGCACAUUACUUAGCUGUCUUUUUUAUGUGGGUGGGUCAUUUCCAAAUACAGCACUGGACUAUAUCUCCCCUGUAAUUUUCAUUUUCUAAGAAUGUUCUGUAUACAUA